AAGCAUGAUUAUGUGAGAAUUCAAAUGAAUUCUCUUCUUGCAGAUGAUUUAUCCAAAGGAAGCCUAUAACAAUAUCUGUACCAUCAAAAUAAAAAUAUUAGAGAGUUAGGGGGGCCAUGGCCCUGGCUGGCCCCCCUCUGCCUCAAUCAUUUUUUGGAAAUGCAAUCAUACUGAAUACUGGGACAUAAGUCCACAUAAGAAAG
rnacentral:misc_RNA from 1 species